AGGCCAAGCAGGAAGUAUGGUUGGCCUCUUUCUCUGUUUGAGGCACACACUGAGAUCUAAGGAAAGCUGAUUUAACACCGCCCUCUCUCCCAGUUGUGGGUUCCCUGGUGGCAGCCAGUGGGUGCACUGGUGACGGUUUCAUGUGGUGUGGCAACUGGAUUUGCAGUGGAGUGGUGUGUGUGGUCACCUUAGGUUGGGCUCUCCUUUAGUAGGACCAGCAGAUAAUAGUUUUAUUAAUUUUAAUGACAAAUAAAACUGCUUGUAACAACGCAUGGACUGGUUUGACUGCGG